rnacentral:rRNA from 1 species
CAAGAHCUUGCGCUUUUGGAGCGGCCGAUGUCUGAUUAGCUAGUWGGUGGGGUAAUGGCCUACCAAAGCGUCGAUCAGUAGCUGGUCUGABAGGACGGCCAGCCACACUGGGACUGASACACGGCCCAGACUCCUACGGGAGGCAGCAGURGGGAAUUUUGGACAAUGGGCGCAAGCBNGAUCCAGCCAUGCCGCGUGAGUAAAGAAGGCCUUCGGGUUKUAAAGCUCUUUCAGCCGGGAAGAAAAGCUUKCGAUUAAUAAUCGCAAUUYAUGACGGUACCGGAAGAAGAAGCACCGGCUAACUACGUGCCAGCAGCCGCGGUAAUACGUAGGGUGCGAGCSUUAAUCGGAAUUACUGGGCGUAAAGGGUKCGCAGGCGGUUUUGUAAGUCAGAUGUUAAAUCCCCGGGCUUAACCUGGGAACU